AUAGGUCCAGCCCAGGCACAGUGGCUGAAGCCUGGAAUCCUCCCGCUUCCUGCUUCGGGAGACCAAGGCAAGAGGAUCUCUCGAAGUCAGGGCACGGAGAAGCUCUCGCUCAUCGCUGCCUCCUACCACUCCGAACAUGCUGCAGUCUCGUUGACCACGCUGCAGUCUUGGUGGCCACCACCAACUGCAGGGAGCCUGGCCAGGUGCCGCAAGUUGCAGCCUCCACCUCCUCCUCUAAGUCGGGCUUGGAGCAGCAGCGGGAGCAGUCACAGAAGAGGCUGGAAUGGUGGAAUGCACCCUCAGUAUGCAUUAUAUAUAGAGGUUUCGG
rnacentral:lncRNA from 1 species